AAGAUGGAUUCGGGAGAGACUGCCCAUAAUGUAUGGAAGAUAAAGAAUACACGGGAUACAGCGUAUCAGUGUAUAAUCAGCAUACAGAAGGCAGCGCCGAAGGGGAAGCGGAAAACUCUCAGGCAAAAGGACCGGAUACCGGAC
rfam:Clostridium clostridioforme CAG:132 genomic scaffold, scf313